ACAAUUAAGUUCAUUCCCUUCCCUUGCAAAACAUUGCCCUGAAGUGAAUUAACACAGGGAAGAUUUCGUUCUCUUAAAAAAAAAAAAUCUGAAGAAGAGAAAGUCACACUACCAGAGAGCUUUUAAAACAUUAUGGCUUCAGGAAGUGGUUGUUUCAAAACUCUUAAGUAUAAUUUUUUUUUAUCUACAAUUAGGCAAAUUCUGGAAUAAGACAUGGGUCUAUUCCUAGAAGUUCUUUCUGAAGAGAGAUUGAAGUCAACCCAUGAAGUAAUGAUAGGUUCUGGACAACUUUUCCCAAUCUGACAACCUCUGGAUGCAUUUAACUACAAUAUCCAUUAGGUCCCAGUCAUGCUUCAAUGAAGAGGAACUAUACUGGCGGAUUUUAAGCGAGGAAGAUACACAUUCAAUUUUUUUUGGGGGGGGGGCUG